rnacentral:rRNA from 1 species
CACCGCCCGUNACGCCAUGGGAGUUAGUUACUCCAGAAGCGCCUAAGCUAACCAUAAACGGAGGCAGGGUGCCAAGGAUUGAUUGAUGACUGGGGCG